UAGUCCACGCCGUAAACGAUGGAUACUAGGUGUCCGGGAUAUUAACCUCCUGGGUACUACAGUUAACGCGUUAAGCAUCCCGCCUGGGGAGUACGGUCGCAAGGCUAAAACUCAAAGGAAUUGACGGGGGCCCGCACAAGCGGUGGAGUAUGUGGUUUAAUUCGAAGCAACGCGCAGAACCUUACCUACCCUUAACAUUUCACGACGUAUACAGAGAUGUAUAUUUCUCUUCGGAGACGUGAGGAUAGGUGCUGCAUGGCUGUCGUCAGCUCGUGUCGUAAGAUGUCUGGUUAAGUCCAAUAACGAGCGCAACCCUUGUCCUUAUUUGCCAGCGGGUCAUGCCGGGAACUUUAAGGAGACUGCCGGUGAUAAACCGGAGGAAGGUGGGGACGAUGUCAAGUCAUCAUGGCCUUUAUGAGUAGGGCUACACACGUGCUACAAUGGGCGGUACAAAGGGUUGCCAAACCGUGAGGUGGAGCUAAUCUCAAAAAACCGUUCUCAGUCCGGAUUGGAGUCUGCAACUCGACUCC
rnacentral:rRNA from 1 species